AAUGAACGCUGGCGGCGUGCCUAACACAUGCAAGUCGCACGAGAACACCCUGCUUCGGCGGGGUAAGUAAAGUGGCGCACGGGUGAGUAACGCGUGGGCAACCUGCCUCCGGAUCGGGGAUAACACUGCGAAAGCGGUGCUAAUACCGGAUGAUGUCAUAUUGUCUUCGGAUUUUAUGACCAAAGACGGCCUCUGCGUGCAAGCCGUUGUCUGGAGAGGGGCCCGCGUACCAUUAGCCUGCCGGUGGGUAACGGCCCACCGGGGCGACGAUGGUUAGCCGGUCUGAGAGGAUGACCGGUCACACCGGAACUGACACACGGUCCGGACUCCUACGGGAGGCAGCAGUGAGGAAUUUUUGCGCAAUGGGGGCAACCCUGACGCAGCAACGCCGCGUGAGUGAUGAAGGCUUUCGGGUCGUAAAGCUCUUUUCGCCAGGGAUGAUAAUGAC
rnacentral:rRNA from 1 species